rfam:Rattus norvegicus chromosome 6, whole genome shotgun sequence.
GGGGAUUUAGCUCAGUGGUAGAGCGCUUGCUUAGGAAGCGCAAGGCCCUGGGUUCGGUCCCCAGCUCCA